GUAGGGGGCGAGCGUUGUUCGGAAUGACUGGGCGUAAAGGGCGUGUAGGCGGCCGAUUAAGUAUGGAGUGAAAGUCCUGCUUUCAAGGUGGGAAUUGCUUUGUAGACUGGUUGGCUUGAGUGCGGAAGAGGUAAGUGGAAUUCCCAGUGUAGCGGUGAAAUGCGUAGAGAUUGGGAGGAACACCAGUGGCGAAGGCGACUUACUGGGCCGUAACUGACGCUGAGGCGCGAAAGCGUGGGGAGCGAACAGGAUUAGAUACCCUGGUAGUCCACGCUGUAAACGAUGAAUGCUAGGUGUUGCGGGUAUCGACCCCUGCAGUGCCGGAGUAAACGCAAUAAGCAUUCCGCCUGGGGAGU
rnacentral:rRNA from 1 species